rnacentral:rRNA from 1 species
CCUACGGGCGGCUGCAGUGGGGAAUAUUGGGCAAUGGGCGCAAGCCUGACCCAGCAACGCCGCGUGAAGGAAGAAGGCUUUCGGGUUGUAAACUUCUAUUGUCAGGGAAGAGGAGAAGACGGGACCUGACGAAUAAGCCAUGGCUAACUACGUGCUAGCAGCCGCGGUAAUACGGAGGGGGCAAGCGGUGUCCGGAUUUACUGGGUGGAAAGGGCGUGUAGGCGGGGUGACAAGUCAGAUGUGAAAUCCUGCGGCUUAACCGCAGAACUGCAUUUGAAACUGUUGAUCUUGAGUACUGGAGAGGCAGCCGGAAUUCCUAGUGUAGCGGUGAAAUGCAUAGAUAUCACGCAGAACACCGAUUGCGACGGCAUCUCACGAAUCCGCGAUUGACGCUGAUGCACGAAAGCGUGGGUAUCAAACAGGAUUAGAUACCCGGGUAGUC